CUGGUUCUCCGCGAAAUCUAUUUAGGUAGAGCGUUGUGUCUUACCCUCGGGGGUAGAGCACUGGAUGGGGAAGGGGGGCGCGAGCCUUACCAACUCUAACCAAACUCCGAAUACCGAGGAGUACAAUCACAGCAGACAGACGGCGGGUGCUAAGGUCCGUCGUCGAGAGGGAAACAGCCCUGACCGCCAGCUAAGGUCCCUAAGUUGUAGCUAAGUGG
rnacentral:rRNA from 1 species